rnacentral:rRNA from 1 species
GCAUAUCAAUAAGCGGAGGAAAAGAAACCAACAGGGAUUGCCCCCAGUAACGGCGAGUGAAGCGGCAACAGCUCAAAUUUGAAAUCUGGCCUCGUGCCCGAGUUGUAAUUUGUAGAGGAUGCUUUUGGCGACGCGCCUUCCGAGUUCCCUGGAACGGGACGCCAUAGAGGGUGAGAGCCCCGUCCGGUCGUGCGCCUAGCCUCUGUAAAGCUCCUUCGACGAGUCGAGUAGUUUGGGAAUGCUGCUCUAAAUGGGAGGUAUACGUCUUCUAAAGCUAAAUACCGGCCAGAGACCGAUAGCGCACAAGUAGAGUGAUCGAAAGAUGAAAAGCACUUUGAAAAGAGGGUUAAAUAGUACGUGAAAUUGCUGAAAGGGAAGCGCUUAUGACCAGACUUGGGCGCGGCGGAUCAUCCGGCGUUCUCGCCGGUGCACUCCACCGCCCCAGGCCAGCAUCAGUUCGCGCCGGGGGAUAAAGGCUUCGGGAAUGUGGCUCUCUCGGGAGUGUUAUAGCCCGCUGCGUAAUACCCUGGCGCGGACUGAGGUCCGCGCUCUGCAAGGAUGCUGGCGUAAUGGUCAUCAGUGACCCGUCUUGAAACACGGACCAAGGAGUCGUCUUCGUAUGCGAGUGUUCGGGUGUCAAACCCCUACGCGGAAUGAAAGUGAACGUAGGAGAGAGCUUCGGCGCAUCUCCGACCGAUCCUGAUGUUCUCGGAUGGAUUUGAGUAAGAGCAUACGGGGCCGGACCCGAAAGAAGGUGAACUAUGCCUGUGUAGGGUGAAGCCAGAGGAAACUCUGGUGGAGGCUCGCAGCGGUUUCUGACGUGCAAAUCGAUCGUCAAACAUGGGCAUGGGGGCGAAAGACUAAUCGAACCUUCUAGUAGCUGGUUCCG